GUAGGUGAACCUGCGGAAGGAUCAUUGCCGAGCGUGCGCCGCCUUGCGAGCCGAAAGGCGACCAUGGCGCGCGCAUUUCUCCACAACCCAUGUGAACUUCGUAACUUCGUGACUCGUGGCGUCGGCCGCCUCGCGGCGGCCGCGUCACACUUUUAACCAACCACGUUGACUGUGCUUCUCUGACUGAGACAAACUGUCCGCUCGCUAACGCGACUGACAUCAAAACCAACAUAUCACAACUUUUAACAAC
rnacentral:misc_RNA from 1 species